ensembl:lncRNA
GUUUAUGUACCAUGUCUGUGAGAUCACUGAGAAGGGCAUGGGCAGAGCUUUAGGCUCUUGUGAUAUUGCACUGUGUCCUAAGGAGCUAAGGGUCAGGCCACGACAGAUGAGACACUCUGUGGAGAAUGGCUUGGAUACCUGAGCCACAAUAUUAAUACCCCAAGCAUACAAUGUGUAUGCUUUUUUUAGUGCAGUCAUAACACAGACAUCACUACAUGCGUGCAUGAUGCCCCCAAGAACAUACCAUUAACUUAGAAAUGGCUAACACAUUCCAUCAGGUGCUAGGCCUGUUAUCAAGAAGCCCAAUAUAAGAAAUAGGGUAAGAUGUGAGUUUACAGCACAAGCCCAGUUGCCAUGGGUCUAGAAGAAGUAAGUUUUAGGUUGACCUCACAAUGCUUUGAGUGAACUGGUAGCCAGGAUGCCACUGGAAUAAGGCCCAAUAGAAGAAACGCAAUACUUAGCAGCCCAAUGGCAUGCUGCUCCAUUGUUGUCUGGUUCAUGGGACACCAAUCCCAUGCUGACAUCAGGGAGGACCGGUAGCCAUGCACAACAGGUAUGAGACAUGGUCCAGGAAUGGAGUCCUGUGAGAAGACUUCUGAGUGCUUACUGGAGUUUGUUCUAUAAACCAGGAUUCCCUCAAGUCACAGAGCUCCAUCUUCCUCUGCAUCAUGGUUCAGUUCUUCAUUUAUUGAUUAAAGUCACUGCUCCAUAGCACACUCAUAUAAAAUAGCACUGUGGUCACUGUUAGUUUCAUGUAUGAUUGUCCCUGUCAGUUUAUAACUUUUUCGCAUCAUCUUAUUGAGAACUUGGCGUCGCUUCCCAGGUCUACUGUUAGAGUAAAACCCGUAAAUUCUCAGUGCCCAUGUACACAGCAGGUGAGGGGGUGGAGAGAGGGGACUUGAGCAUCACCCUACACGGACUUGGCUCCUGCCAGGGCAGAGAUGCAUCGCCCUCAGUGAGGAAGGUCUGCAAACUUCCAGAGACAGUGUCCUUCUACAACAAGGGGGCAGAGUCAAGGGCUGGAUGUUCCAGGAACCAACAGCCAUUUUUAUUUUUCUUGUGUUGCUUAGUUCAUGGACUCGUGAGCAUCUGGAUCUGGCCUUCCUUCUAGGUGAGGAUGUAGUAGCCUCUUCAUUCAAAGAGACCUGAAAACAUGGGUUUACAGUAAAAAGUACAAAGUGUUCUGUUGUCCAUUCUGUGUAGUAGGCCACCGAUUUCUAUUGGCCUGAGCCAGGGAGCAACACCUGAGUGCCUCUCUUCCACUCAGGGUGUAUCAUUCAAAGAGUUAGCUGUAUCUCUGGCCUUGUUUAUGAGGCUGGUCUCAGGCUUUGGCAAUGCUGUGUGUUGUUGUUGAUGAUUUUCAGUAUCUCUAGCAUGGACUUUUGGAAAGUUCAUAUUUGUGUAACAAAAGUAUCUGUUUAUUCAUAGUACAAUAAAAAGAACAAUAUAGCAGUAACAGUCACAGCACCAGGAGCAGCAUCAGGAGCAAGGACAUUGUAAUUGCAAGAUCCUUUGUGGUACCUAUGCAAAUAUAAAAAAAAUAGUUGUUCUACACAUAUGUCCCAGGAGGCAGAAAACUCCAUUUCCAGCUAGAUAUACUUGAAUGUAUCUGUGUCUUUUCAUUUGCUGGAAGUAUGACAAAUCACUAUGUCCUACCAGCAGUAAGCCACCUAGUCAUAAGAGGGGACCUUGCUGUUUUCCCACCUAUAAUUCCCCACCCCUCUGUUGUCUCCUGUGACUGUCUGCAUCCUCAGCAAGUUGCUCUCCGCUCUGUGGUAUCAGCUCCAGAGACUACAGCACCUCCUACAACACUUGACACAGACACAUGGAAGGGUCUCUUAAUAGAAAUGUGCAGGACUUAAGCUCUGGCUGUGCUGGCUCUGAGCUGGGUUUGAGUCUCUAAUUCCUCCUGAGUGUUCCACUCUUUCCUUCACUAUAUUUACCUCCAUCCUCCACAACUCUAGGGCUACCAUCCUCUGCUUUCUACAUCUCGUUCAAAUAUUUUAGGACUCCUGUUAGGAGUAAGGACAGGAUGG